rnacentral:misc_RNA from 1 species
UCACCGUUAAAUGUGAUGCCGCCAAUAAUCGAGCAGAAUGUGGUAUUUUCCUGGUUGCUAGCGGACGUCACGCGACCGCCUGGGAGAUGUUGGCCUUGGAGAGCCCAUCAACUGACCGACCGCACUCUCCGAGAACCAGAAGUCUGCAGACCUCAACUGCGCAGAGGUAGCCGCAGUUCCGACCUCAAGAUGGCGGCAGUUUAUUUUGCAAUAUUGGUGUGUUGUUCCAUUGCUUUUUGUGUUGAGGCCGCAGAUCCUAAACCAACAAAUGAGGACAAGAAGGUGGUCUGCUACUACACGAACUGGAGUUACAAGAGGGCGGGACCCUACGCUUUUACUCCGGACAAGAUUGACCCUUUCCUCUGCACCCACAUUAUUUACGCUUUCAUCAAGAUUGGCCAGAAGAACAACCUAAUCUCUUCCGACCCGGAAUUUGACUUCAACCAGCGAGGAUUCGCGAAUGCCACCGCUCUCAAAAAGAAGAACAAAAAUCUGAAAGUGAUGAUCGGUGUGGGAGGCUGGGUCACAGGAACGUUGCCGUUUAUGAGGAUAUCUUCUAAUGAAACAAACAGGAGAGAGUUUGCCAAGAAUGCUGUGCGCUUCAUCAGAGGAUACAUGUUUGACGGUAUCGACCUUAACUGGCAGCAUCCAGGAGUCAAGGAGGGUGGCUCACCCCAGGACAAGGAGAAUUACGUCAAACUGGCUCAGACAUUAAGAGAGGAGUUCGAGGUUGAAGCUGUCCAGAAAAACAAACCCAAACUCCUUCUGUCCAUUUCCAUUGCCCAUCACGAGAAAUUCCUUCCAGGAUACGAUAUUGCAAGCUUUAAUACUUACAUGGACUUCAUCAGUGUGAUUUGCUACGAUUACCACUUCUCUUACGAGUCGGCUGUCAAUCACCACUCCCCCCUCUACUCCCUGGAGGAGGACAGCGACUACAACUACGAUGCCAAAAUCAAUAUCAGAUCAGACAAAAACGUUACAUCUCCAACGGGAGAGAACCAAGGCUACGAAGGUGAUGCCAGAUUUAACAUUAACUACACGAUAAACUACUUCAAAGAACUCGCUGAUCCGGCUAAGCUGGUGUUGGGGAUACCGGUCUACGGACGUACUUACAAGCUAGAGAACACCGAAGAUACGGCCCUGGGCUCUUACGCUGACGGUCCUGGAGACAAGGGACCUGGCACUGGCGAGAAAGGGUUCUUUGCUUAUUUCGAGAUAUGCAAUUUUGUGAAGAACGAAGGCUGGACAGUGAUGCAGACGAAGCCCGGCUCUGCAGGGCCGUAUGCUUACAAGGGCGACCAGUGGGUGUGUUACGAUGACCUUGAUAUGAUACGUAAUAAGGUUGCUUAUGCAAACAAGGAGGGCCUCUCGGGCGUCAUGUUCUGGACUAUUGACUACGACGAUUUCGACGGUAAAUGUCAAGACACAAAGUUCCCUCUAAUAAGAACUGCUAGAGAUGCGCUUUAUUCUACCGACAUGAUUGCCAAAACCAACCCGUGCGCCAACCCCCCUUGCAGCUCCUAGGACACCCGUGCCACACAGAGACGAGUACCCUGCGGAGUCCGAUGUAAGUGAACCCCAAUCAAACAUUGUUGGUGACCUCAUUCGUCUUAUUCAACGAGCCGGUGGCAUGACUAACUUCUGCAACAUUU